rnacentral:rRNA from 1 species
GACGAACGCUGGCGGCGUGCCUAAUACAUGCAAGUCGAACGCAGUGGGGACGGGGGAGUAAAACGUGGGUAACCUCCCAUCAGAGGGGAAAACACUUGGAAACAGGUGCUAAACCGAUACUGAUGGAUGGACCUGCGGUGCAUUAGCUGGUUGGUGAGGUAACGGCUCACCAGGGCCACGAGGCAUAGCCGACCUGCGAGUGGGAUCGGCCGAACUGGGACUGAGGCACGGCCCAGACUCCUAGACGAGGCAGCAGUAGGGAAUCUUCGGCAAUGGACGAAAGUCUGACCGAGCGACGCCGCGUGAGUGAAGAAGGUUUUCGGGUCGUAAAGCUCUGUUGUUCGAGAAGCGGUAUCUAACCAGAAAGCCACGGCUAACUACGUGCCAGCAGCCGCGGUAAUUC